GAUGAACGCUGGCGGCGUGCCUAAUACAUGCAAGUCGAGCGAACAGACGAGGAGCUUGCUCCUCUGACGUUAGCGGCGGACGGGUGAGUAACACGUGGAUAACCUACCUAUAAGACUGGGAUAACUUCGGGAAACCGGAGCUAAUACCGGAUAAUAUAUUGAACCGCAUGGUUCAAUAGUGAAAGACGGUUUUGCUGUUACUUAUAGAUGGAUCCGCGCCGCAUUAGCUAGUUGGUAAGGUAACGGCUUACCAAGGCGACGAUGCGUAGCUGACCUGAGAGGGUGAUCAGCCACACUGGAACUGAGACACGGUCCAGACUCCUACGGGAGGCAGCAGUAGGGAAUAUUCGACAAUGGGCGAAAGCCUGACGGAGCAACGCCGCGUGAGUGAUGAAGGUCUUCGGAUCGUAAAACUCUGUUAUUGGGGAAGAAAAGAUGUGGAAGUAACUAUGGACGUCUUGACGGUACCUAAUCAGAAAGCAACGGCUAACUACGUG
rnacentral:rRNA from 1 species